UACGUAGGUGGCAAGCGUUGUCCGGAUUUACUGGGCGUAAAGAGCGCGCAGGCGGUCGGUCAAGUCGAGUGUGAAAGCCCCCGGCUCAACUGGGGAGGGUCACUCGAUACUGAUCGACUCGAAGGCAGAAGAGGGAAGCGGAAUUCCCGGUGUAGUGGUGAAAUGCGUAGAUAUCGUAAGGAAGACCAGUGGCGAAGGCGGGUCUCUGGACAGUUCCUGACGCUGAGGCACGAAGGUCAGGGGAGCAAACGGG
rnacentral:rRNA from 1 species